CGUCCUCUUACUGACAUAAUUCACUAACAUGCUUUUGAAGAGGAGUCCCCAACAUGGCUGCCAACAUUGGUUGGUUUUUUUCCUUUCUCUUGGUGGGAUGUGGGACAUUGUUAGAGAUAAAAAUCUCUAGGACAAAAUGUUUCAAAGUUUAUCUCUUGGGAUCCUUUUACAACUGUCCACACUGUGAACAUUAUUAAAGACUCGAAAUAGCUUUUGUUUAUAUGGAUCGGGUCUAGUGAUCCAAACAUGACACUGAGGAACACAACUGUUUUAAAAUUCAUUACAAAACAACAAGAGAAACUGCACGUUUUUAAAUGAAGAGGAACUAUUUUCCAUAUCGAGAAAUAAGAGAUCAAGAAUUGAGUCUGUUUCUUAAUCUGGGAAUUGUUUAUUUCCACUGAGGAACCUUACGCUGGUACACGAUAGCUCACACUGGCUGACCCACUAGGAAGCCCACAGAUAAGGCACAGAAGCCCAUCUCACUCAAGCCCACAGUCAUGUGGAAGGAAAUGACUGCACGGAUGAUGGUGGCCACCAACAGGCCCUGGUACAGUUCUGACUCUGUUGUCCUGAUCAUUGACAGACUUUAGAGUUGCUACAGGAAAAUAGGUUGAAGAUGCCACUUUGCCUCAGAGUCCUCAAGAAUUCAUGUGAAAUAACUGAGGUGCCCGGCAAGUGUGAAACUGCCGUGCAUUACGAGAGCACUGAAUCCAAUCCAAUUGAAGGUGCUGUGAGCCAGCAAUAGUCCAAGAUCUUAGGUGUCAUUAUAUCUGAUUGAGCAAAAUGCUUGCAGGACGGAAAAGAGGUUUGUUAUCGCCUGGGCGAUCCGUGGAGGAGUCUGUAGAGGAAGUAACAUUCCGGCUUAAUCUUUACAACAAAGAGGAAUUUGUUAGAUCAAGAAGCAAAAGGAAAAAAAAAAGGAAAAAAAAAGAAGGAGGGAGGAGCUAGGGAGGAGGAUGUUGUGAGGAGAGGAGACAGUAGAGGCAAGAGCAUGGAGAAAAGAGAGUUUAUGAUAGAGACAAUAAGGACAAUUGAAGAAGGAGAAAAGGACCAGACACCCAUAACCCCUGAGGCUGGCAGAUGAGUCUGGGGUCACUGGACCACACUGAGAAGGACCUUGAAUGCUAUGCUAUGUCCUUUGGACUUAAUUCUGUAGGCACUUGGAAGCCACCAAGGGUGACUGCCCCAAGAAUCCAUAAGGACAAAGAGUCUGAACAGGGCCUUUUGCCAUUCUGUUCUUGUGAAGAUCACAAAGUCCCAUGUUCAGAACAUCACAGUCUGUU
ensembl:lncRNA